GGUGGCCCUUCGAUGGCAGCCUCGCCUACAGCCUGUCUGUCUUUUCUUUGUUAUUUUUGGUGUGUUUUAAAAGUUUGUGUGAAUGUUCUCUGGUUUGUUUUAUGUGGGUGGUGGGGGAAACUUUUUAAUCUCUUACCUUGCUGGAGAUGCGAUUGUUUUCCAGGUCACAUCUCCGGUCACUCUGUGGCCUAAUAUCGUGGAGCUGGAGGCCUUGGUUGGGACCGGCUUUGAGCCUCACCGCGGGUCGUGGACUUACCAUCAGAGCCGACUCCUUGCCUGGGAUCGACACUCCAACCGCAGCCUGCGGAUUUUAACUUCAAGGAGCUCGCAAUCUCGGGUUGAGACCGGUGUCGGAAAGCUCCAAAAGCCGCACGACAUUCGACUAGCCCCGCUCCAGGGUAGACCGCACGCUGAGAUUCCCCCCCUCCCCCGAUGCAGGAGCUUGAUCGCCACAACGAGAAGGCCCGCCGCCAGCUACGGGAGUAAGAUCGAGUAAAUGGCUAAAGUGCUUGCAUUCAUUAAUCUCUUAGAGGAUGGGGAGAUUUGAUGCAAGAAAUUCUAAAAACUAACGACAAGAACAGCCAAAAGUCUCAUCUCCAACAGUGGAAACUGAUUGGAUAAUAGGCUGGUGUUUAAGAAGGAACUGCAGAUGCUGGAAAAUCGUAGGUGGACAAAAGUGCUGGAGGAACUCAGCGGAUGAGGCAUCAAUGGAGCGAAGGAAAUAGGCAACGUUUCAGGCCAAAACCCUUCUUCAGACUGGUGUGAGGGUGGGGUGGGAAGAAGAAAGGAAGAGGUGGAGCCAGUGGAGCAGUAUCAAUGACAGAGUGGGACUGGAGAGUUGCAGAGCGAUUUUGAUUUUUAGAUGAAAGCUUUUAAAUGAGAAACAUUGGCUGCUAACACAAAGCUUGCAAUUUAUGUUUCCUCUUUCAGAGGUAAGUGAUGAACCACCCACAGGUCACUAAACUGCUCCCCAUUCCGCUUCAUUUUUAUCCACAAUUGGCACCGAGUAACAUUCCCUAGAAAAUGGGACUGUUUUACCCAAAGAUUCAUUGUUUAUUUACACGACCCCAAGCGCCUUUAAAUACCCUUCCCCCUGCAACUUGAUUCCUCAUCCCCGUUUUAACCCGUGACAACCGUGUCCCUCAACCCGCCCCAGAGUCCCACCUGUUACUCAGAAAGCCGAUGGUUAAAAAUCUUGCGGCAUCGCUGAACGCUGUUUAAGAUUACAUCAGAUGAAGGAUUUCACCCAGCCAGAGCACCCAAUGAUACUCAAAUGUCCUUCUCCUUUCAGUCACCCCGACAGACUACAAAGCGAGAUAGAUUAUGAAUGAAAGGCUUAUUUCUGAGACCUUUCACAAAAGGUCUUUGGCCUUUGCCCUUCCCAAGCACUUUACAGAUGAGGAAGCACUUUGAAUGUGGUUAUUUGGGAUGGAACAGAAAAUCCCACUGCCAACUGAUGCACACCCACCUCCCAACAACAUUAAGUAGGAAUCAAAAUUACCGCCAAUCUGAAAUAUAAACAGAAAAUGCUGAAAACUUGCAGUCGGUCAGGCAGCAUCCAUGGAGGAUGGAAAAAAAAAACUAUUAACCUUUCAGUUCUGCCACCCUUGAUCAGAAUGUUCUUAGUUCAUAGAAUCGAACCAGUUUCUCUUACCACAGUUGAAGUCUGACCCGCUGCUUUUUUCAAGCAAUUUGUUUCAAUCGUACAAGCAACAUUUUGAUUACGAUCAGAUAAUCUGUCUUGCAGCAAUGCUGAUUGAGUGAUAAUUCUUAACAUGAAUACAUUCCUUUCUUUCUUAAAACCUGGGAUGUUUAACAUCCACCUUGAGGCAUUAUUUCAACCAAAAGGCUUAUUCCCUCAGUUUUGCACUAGGGUGUCAGCUUGUGCUUUUGAGAGUUGAACUCCAGGCUUUGGAUUGAAGUGGCAAGAGUGCUACCGGCUGAGCCAUGGUACUCACCAACAAUCACUCGACAGGGACAUUAAAUCUUUCAUUGAGUCCGUUCCACAGCAGGUUGCUGCACAGAUCCAACUGCAACGUACACAUUCAGCCUCCGUGAACAAAGGAUGUCAUGUACUAUGAAGCUGGGAUUGCUGGGAGCACAGGACAUAUGCUUCACUGUCAUGUCCCAAGCACAGCUCAUGGGCAAAGUAGAUCCAAUGUGUAGGAAGAAACUGCAGAUGCUGGUUUAAACCGAAGAUAGACACAAAAAGCUGAAGUCUUUGGAGACAAGGAAUGGGUGACGUUUCGUGUCAAGAAGAAGUCUCGACCCUUUUUGUGGCAAAAGCAGAUCCAAAGUGCUUUUUGUGUCUAAAGCAGGGCCAAUAUUGCCUCAAAGAAAGUCUUCUCCCCUCCCCCCUGCAUUCCUUCCAUCGGCUAAACAAUUUGCAACUUUUCCACUGUCAAGUUUCGCAAUUGGCAACUCUUUAUCCUUUUGGGCUCACACCUGUCUUUUCCUCCCUGGCUUAUAUCAAACAGUCAGCCCAUCAAAAUACCCCCCUUGACUGCGUUCACCUAUACCUGCCAUGCUCUGUCCUGCCCCAUCUCUUUUGAAGCAUUUUUCCCGCCCCUCCACCCACCUCCCCGGCAAUCAGUCUGAAGAAGGAUCCCAACCCGAAACAUUGCCUAUCCCUAUUCUCCAGAGAUGCUGCCUGACCGGUUGAGUUAUUCCAACUUGAGACUUUCUUUGGUAUAAACCAGCAUCUACAGUUCCUUGUUAUUAAAAUGUUGCCCUGCUGUACCUAACAAACCAGAUCAAACAAUCACAAAGCAGAGCUCAAGAAAUGGAAAGAUAGUACGUACAAUAAAGCACAGAAAGAUCAGCUACGCAGAUGCAGCGGUAGAGUUGUUGCCUUAAUAGCGCUUGCAGCGCCGGAGACCCUGGUUCGAUCCCGACUACAGAUGCCGUCUACGGAGUUUGUACGUUUUCCCCGUGACUGCGUAUGUGGGUUUUACUCUGAGAACUUCGGUUUCCUCCCACACUCCAAAGACGUACAGAUCCCAAAGGCACACGAGGUGAUCAAACCCAACAGUCUCACACAUGCUGUCCCCAUCAGGGUCGAAUGUGAAUGGCGGUAAGAAAUCAUAGAACAAUUUCGCUAUUUAUUACUGCCUGUUAACAUGAGAGAAAAAAACAUCUCUCAACACUUUGCAGGUGCAUAGACAAACAAAACAAAUGCAUACCCAAAACCAGGGAAGACAGCCAGAAUUAAAUCCCACACAGAGGAGACAUAACUAGAAUAUUUCCGAUCCAACAGAAACAUAAAAAAACUAGAGGGCAUAGAUCUUGGAUGGGGAGUAGAGGUUUAAAGGGGGAUCCAACGAGGAACGUAUGUGGAACUCACUGCCCUAGUGGGUGGUUUAAGUAGUAUCUGGACAAGUACUUAAGGCAUAGAAAGCAACGGAUGCUGGUAAAUGAGUACUUCAUGGUCAGCAUGAACAUGCUGGGCUGAAGGGUCGGUGUCUGUAGUACUUUUAUAUUCAACUUUAAAUAAACAAAUUGUUUUUUUUUAAAAAGGUAAUCUCCGCUACAAUUGAAAUUACUGAACAGUUGUAAAAAGGGAUCUGUUUCAGCAAAGGAAAUCUACCAUCCUCACCAGCCUGGCCUACAUCCUCAGUUCUGGGACGUAGAGAUGAACAAUAAAUGUUGGUAUUGUCAGCGAUGUCCACAAUCCAUGAAUAAAGAAAAUCUAUACACACCAAAUAAAAAUAUUAACACAC